UAGGUGGAAGGCAAUUUCUUCCUUGACUGC
rnacentral:piRNA from 1 species